rnacentral:rRNA from 1 species
UACAGAGGGGGCAAGCGUUGUUCGGAAUUACUGGGCGUAAAGGGCGCGUAGGCGGCCCUCUAAGUCAGACGUGAAAUCCCUCGGCUCAACCGGGGAACUGCGUCUGAGACUGGAUGGCUUGAAUUCGGGAGAGGGAUGCAGAAUUCCAGGUGUAGCGGUGAAAUGCGUAGAUAUCUGGAGGAAUACCGGUGGCGAAGGCGGCAUCCUGGACCGAGAUUGACACUGAUGAGCGAAAGCUAGGGGAGCAAACGGG